rnacentral:rRNA from 1 species
CGGAACGUACCUUUCAGUGGGGGAUAACGUAGCGAAAGUUACGCUAAUACCCCAUAUUCUGUGAGCAGGAAAGCAGGGGAUCGCAAGACCUUGCGCUGAUUGAGCGGCCGAUAUCAGAUUAGCUAGUUGGUGAGGUAAAGGCUCACCAAGGCGACGAUCUGUAGCGGGUCUGAGAGGAUGAUCCGCCACACUGGAACUGAGACACGGUCCAGACUCCUACGGGAGGCAGCCAUGCCGCGUGAGUGAAGAAGGCCUUCGGGUUGUAAAGCUCUUUCGGCCGGGAAGAAAUCGUAUGGGUUAAUACCCUGUGCGGAUGACGGUACCGGCAUAAGAAGCACCGGCUAACUACGUGCCAGCAGCCGCGGUAAUACGUAGGGUGCGAGCGUUAAUCGGAAUUACUGGGCGUAAAGCGUGCGCAGGCGGUUUUGUAAGACAGGCGUGAAAUCCCCGGGCUCAACCUGGGAACUGCGCUUGUGACUGCAAGGCUAGAGUACGGCAGAGGGGGGUGGAAUUCCACGUGUAGCAGUGAAAUGCGUAGAGAUGUGGAGGAACACCAAUGGCGAAGGCAGCCCCCUGGGUCGAUACUGACGCUCAUGCACAAAAGCGUGGGUAGCAAACAGGAUUAGAUACCCUGGUAGUCCACGCCCUAAACGAUGUCAACUAGGUGUUGGGUGGGUAAAACCAUUUAGUACCGGAGCUAACGCGUGAAGUUGACCGCCUGGGGAGUACGGCCGCAAGGUUAAAACUCAAAGGAAUUGACGGGGACCCGCACAAGCGGUGGAUGAUGUGGAUUAAUUCGAUGCAACGCGAAAAACCUUACCUACCCUUGACAUGUCCAGGAGCCUGAAGAGAUUUGGGUGUGCCCGAAAGGGAACUGGAACACAGGUGCUGCAUGGCUGUCGUCAGCUCGUGUCGUGAGAUGUUGGGUUAAGUCCCGCAACGAGCGCGACCCUUGUCGUUAAUUGCCAUCAUUUAGUUGGGUACUUUAACGAGACUGCCGGUGACAAACCGGAGGAAGGUGGGGAUGACGUCAAGUCCUCAUGGCCCUUAUGGGUAGGGCUUCACACGUCAUACAAUGGUCGGUACAAAGGGUCGCCAACCCGCGAGGGGGAGCCAAUCCCAGAAAGCCGAUCGUAGUCCGGAUCGUAGGCUGCAACUCGCCUGCGUGAAGUCGGAAUCGCUAGUAAUCGUGGAUCAGCAUGUCACGGUGAAUACGUUCCCGGGUCUUGUACACACCGCCCGUCACACCAUGGGAGCGGGUUCCGCCAGAAGUAGGUAGCCUAACCGCAAGGGGGGCGCUUACCACGGCGGGGUUCGUGACUGGGGUGAAGUCGUAACAAGGUA